GUGCUUGUUGCUGCGGCACAUACACUAAAAUUGGAAUGAUACAGAGAUCAGCAUGGCCCCUGCGCAAGGAUGACAUGCAAAUUCAUGAAGUGUUCCAUAUUAAC